rnacentral:lncRNA from 1 species
CCCCACUGGAAAACCGUGGCUUCUGUAUUAUUUGCCAUCUUUGUUGUGUAGGAGCAGGGAGGGCUUCCUCCCGGGGUCCUAGGCGGCGGUGCAGUCCGUCGUAGAAGAAUUAGAGUAGAAGUUGUCGGGGUCCGCUCUUAGGACGCAGCCGCCUCAUGGGGGUCCAGGGGCUCUGGAAGCUGCUGGAGUGCUCCGGGCGGCAGGUCAGCCCCGAAGCGCUGGAAGGGAAGAUCCUGGCUGUUGAUAUUAGCAUUUGGUUAAACCAAGCACUUAAAGGAGUCCGGGAUCGCCAUGGGAACUCAAUAGAAAAUCCUCAUCUUCUCACUUUGUUUCAUCGGCUCUGCAAACUCUUAUUUUUUCGAAUUCGUCCUAUUUUUGUGUUUGAUGGGGAUGCUCCACUAUUGAAGAAACAGACUUUGGUGAAGAGAAGGCAGAGAAAGGACUUAGCGUCCAGUGACUCCAGGAAAACGACAGAGAAGCUUCUGAAAACAUUUUUGAAAAGACAAGCCAUCAAAACUGCCUUCAGAAGCAAAAGGCAAGAGGAAAAUUAUAGUCGUGUUAGAGAUGAAGUUUUAAAAAAGUGAUUUUUGUCUUGA